rnacentral:rRNA from 1 species
GAUGAACGCUAGCGGCAGGCUUAAUACAUGCAAGUCGAGGGGGCAGCAAUGUCACCGGCGAACGGGUGCGUAACGCGUAUGCAACCUACCUACAUCAGGGGGAUAGCCCUAGGAAACUGGGAUUAACACCGCAUAACAUAUGACAAGGCAUCUUGUUAUAUUGAAAUAUUUAUAGGAUGUAGAUGGGCAUGCGUAGGAUUAGCUAGUUGGUAAGGUAACGGCUUACCAAGGCUACGAUCCUUAGGGGCCCUGAGAGGAGCAUCCCCCACACUGGCACUGAGAGACGGGCCAGACUCAUACGGGAGGCAGCAGUAGGGAAUAUUGGGCAAGGGAGUCAACUCUGACCCAGCAAUGCCGCGUGCAGGAAGACGGUCCUCUGGAUUGUAAACUGCUUUUGAAUGGGAAGAAUGUGUGGCUUGCGAGCUAUAAUGACGGUACCAUUAGAAUAAGCCACGGCUAACUACGUGCCAGCAGCCGCAGUAA